GGGGAUAUGGCGAAAUUGGUAGACGCUGCGGACUUAAAAUCCGUUGACUUUUAAAAUCGUGAGGGUUCAAGUCCCUCUAUCCCCA
rnacentral:tRNA from 5 species